CCUACGGGUGGCAGCAGUGGGGAAUAUUGCGCAAUGGGCGAAAGCCUGACGCAGCGACGCCGCGUGAGGGAUGAAGGUCUUCGGAUCGUAAACCUCUGUCAGCAGGGAAGAACGGUCACUGUGCUAAUCAGCAGUGAAUUGACGGUACCUGCAAAGGAAGCACCGGCUAACUCCGUGCCAGCAGCCGCGGUAAUACGGAGGGUCCGAGCGUUAUCCGGAUUUAUUGGGUGUAAAGCGCUUGUAGGCGGUAAGAUAAGUCUAGUGUGAAAGCCGUGGGCUCAACGUGAGAAUUGCCUUUGAAACUGGUGAACUGGAGUGUGGGAGAGGAGAGUGGAAUUCCAGGUGUAGGGGUGGAAUGCGUAGAUAUCUGGAAGAACACCAGUGGCGAAGGCGGCUAUCUGGCAUGUAACUGACGCUGAGGAGCGAAAGCGUGGGUAGCGAACAGGAUUAGAUACCCUAGUAGUC
rnacentral:rRNA from 1 species